UCACAUAGUAUGAGGCAUUGUGUUCAAUAGAAAGAAACUUCACCACGUGUAAAGAGUUAAGAAAUUAUUAUAACAAGGUGUUUAUCAUCUGUUAGACUCUCUUUACGAGUGACUUGCAUAUGACCUACUCUUUAACUUCAACAUACUUCAACAUAAUAUGAACGAGAGAGGCAUAUCCAGAGAUGAGAGAGAAAGAAAGAGAGAGGGAGAAAAGGAUUGAUAGGAGAAAUGAUGAGACUGUUGCACUCCAUGACGUCAAUUAACUUCUCCGACAGCGCAUCAUAUCACCUCCGAAAACCACCAAUCAACCAUUCUUACAAAGCCAAGACACAUAUCUACCUUAGUACAAACAACAUUUAAAUUCACCUCACAUUGGGCUCCUUAUAAAUUUCACAGCACAACAAUCGGCUAUCUCACCUUUGAUAGUGCAUCUUCGUCAAGAUUACAAAGUGCCUCUGUUUUUUUCAAUAUGUCUUUUUCAAAGCAAUUUCCGCGACACUGUCAAGUGGAAAAGAAGGAAUACACCCUAGAGUUGGACAAAAAAAUAAGAGGUAUAAGAUUUUUCAUCACUGAACAAAGUGCAUACAAAUCACUCAUACUAGUGGUCACAGUGGAAUAAGUUGAAUGGAUGAAGAAAGUCAUGUUUACUUUGAUCAACACCCUAAAGAACAACAGAUUCUUUCAGAAAAAAAGAGAUAACAGACAAUGUAUGUGGAUUAGUAAAACGCAAAAUAAGAAAGGGAACUUAGCUGAGAUCUUCAAGGUGGACGAUAAAGGAAGAAAAUGCUAUAAAUUGGUGCAAGAAAGUGUUGAAAUAACAUGAUGGAGCAAUUUUUUAAAAAUGCUAAACUACAAGGCUGAAAGAGAAACGAAAGCAUUGCAUGCAGGGUACCAUAGUCGCAAGUUUGAAGUGGACACAUCAUCAGCAGAAUCGGAUACAGAUGAAAGGAAUAAAAAAAGAACAUAUGCAGAAGUGUUAUAUUCCGAAAGUAACUACGACAGCUCAACAGAAAGCGAUAAAUAUAAAGAGAUGAACUCUAAGAAAAGUGAUGAAAGUGAAAAAGCUCAAAGAAAAGGAGACAGGAAAAUAC
rnacentral:lncRNA from 1 species